rnacentral:lncRNA from 1 species
GAAGACCUCACUCUGAGGGCUUGUGCCGGAGGGUCUAGGAGUCCUAACGUCUAGAGUAUCCAAGUUGACCUGGAGAAAUGGAGGACAAGCAUUCUGGGAAGAUACGAGCCUGUCUAAACUGUAAGAACAAGGUACAGGCAAAGCAUGAGGACAAUUUCAAGCAUAUACGAAAAGUUGAGAGAAUAGUACAAGAAACUUCACAUUCCAUCACCCAGCUUCAACCACUAUCAUCACAUGGCCAGUCUUGUUCAUUUAUCUCCCUCCACUCCCAGAUUAUUUCAAAGCAAAUCCAAGUCAUUGAGUGAUUUCAUCUGUAAAUAAUUUACUAUGACUCUCUAAAAAGAUAAGGAAUCUUGUUUCUAACAUAACCACAUAUCAUUAUCUCCUUAGUAUCAUCAAAUAUUUGCUGUUCUACUUUAUCUGAUGAUCUUAUCAUUUUUUAAAUAUUUUGCCUUAAUAAUUCUAAAUAAUAUGCUUAUAUUUGAGUCAUUUAUUUUCAAAUCCAAUAGCAUGGUUUCUCUAUUCCAGGAAUUCCCAUCUAUUUCAGAGCAAGUGUGCAGAUCACUGAGUGGCAGAAAGGUGCUUGUGGGUGAGAUGUGAUGUCUCCCAGCUGGGGUCCCUUCCCUCUGUGGCCUCCCCCGCCGAUGCUGUCAGUCCAGGCAUCUGCGUCCUGUAAUUAGCUAACGUGGGGCUUUGUGUUUUCCCUUUGUGAAUGUGAGAACAGUGUUGGAGACGCUUGUUCCACACAAGUGUACGUGGAGCUCACUUAUGUAAUAGUACUCUAAUUCAUUCCUGACACUGGAAAAGCAGGGGGAACCAUGCCAGUUGUUUUUGAGGUAGCCAGUGUCGUGUAAUGGAAAGGCAUCACAGUUGUUGGAACUGGGAGAAUUCAGGUUUAAAUCUGGGCUCUCUCACUUGGCAGCUACGUGACCUUGGGCAAAUUACAUAACUUCUCUGAGUCUCUGUUUUCAUGUGUGCUAUGCAUGGAGAGCAAUGCUUACCUCUCAGGGAAGGUGUUGGAAAGAUUCAAUGCAAUAACACAUAGAACAUGCUGGAACUACAUCUGACACAGAGCAGGGACUCGAUAAAUUCUCUCUCUCUCUCAGUAUAUACAUAUACAAACUGUAAAAAAUAUGUAUGUGUGUAUAUUUAUCUGUAUAUAUCCAAAUAUAAUAUUUUACCUUUUAUAGAUGAAUGGAGAACAACUCUAACUCACUUUUAUUUUGCAUAUUUAGUAUCGUAUUUAUUAAAAAAUUAUCUAAUCUUUCUACUUUAAUCUCUACUUAUGACUACCUAAAAUAAAAAUAUAAAAUAUAAUAAAACAAUUCCUUUUAGUUAAACUUCUUUAAUUCAA